UUGUUCUCACUAGAGGAUAUUACUUAUACGAUAGCGUGGUGAAUUGCACCGUUUUUGAGUGCUCAUAAAUCGCGCGCAAUUAUUACGUUUUGUGAAUUGUAGGUGAAUUUGUUAGAGUAAUGAUUGUUACAUAGCGUGAUUAUUUGCGAAACAUGGUGAAGAACGAAAAUUUCGUAAUAGAACUCGGUAUUCGUUCAUCGUAACGUAAAUCCACGGUUUCCAAUAACAAGGGGACAAAGCAAAGAGAAGAGCAAGGUUAUACGAACGCUUCUUUUCUUCGUCAAUUGGUACUAGAUUCCCCUAGGAUAUUCGCAGAAGAAGUCGGUGGCUGGAGAUUGUCGUAGCAUCGGGGUUAGGACUGGUCGAACCUCCCGGCAUUUUAUCUGGUAGUUCAAUCACCAUUCGAAAAAUUCGCAAGUUUGAUGAAUAGACGAUAUUAGUCAAGUUGUUCGUGACACUCCGCCAACGCUGAAGUUUUAACUUUCAUCGUCCGAAAACGCACUGAUACCGAGCAAUCAGUACUGGGAUUUCCAC